rnacentral:rRNA from 1 species
GUGUCAGCAGCCGCGGUAACACGUAGGGGGCGAGCGUUGUCCGGAUUUAUUGGGCGUAAAGAGCUCGUAGGCGGUUCGGUAAGUCGGGUGUGAAAACUCAAGGCUCAACCUUGAGACGCCACCCGAUACUGCUGUGACUAGAGUCCGGUAGGGGAGCGUGGAAUUCCUGGUGUAGCGGUGAAAUGCGCAGAUAUCAGGAGGAACACCAGCGGCGAAGGCGGCGCUCUGGGCCGGAACUGACGCUGAGGAGCGAAAGCGUGGGGAGCGAACAGGAUUAGAUACCCUGGUAGUCCACGCCGUAAACGUUGGGCACUAGGUGUGGGACCCUGUCAACGGGUUCCGUGCCGUAGCUAACGCAUUAAGUGCCCCGCCUGGGGAGUACGGCCGCAAGGCUAAA